AGACACCUUGGUGCCAAUUUAGGGAUUUCACCCCUGCCACAACUCAUUGCGGUUCUUGAACAUCAAUUGCCAUGGUUCAAUGCGACCUUUCGGUACUCGUCAGUUCCCAUCUCCCCUAUAACCUAAUGUUCGAUUCUUAAUGCUUCCAUCAAUGGCGAUGAAUCUCAUCUCCCAUCUAGCCUGUUUUUCGAUAUUUACCUCAAUCGACCAGAUCUUGUGAGAUGGAUAGAUGGUUCAAAAAAUCUAGGGCUCAAUGUCAGAACCGCAAGGUGAAAACGAAGAUUAAAGUUGAUUUGAGAUCCACCCACGAAGAUUCAGAAACAGAUUUGAUUACAAGACCCUAAAAUCGUUCAAGUUGAAGGCUUUAGUCCUGAAUUGGAGAAUCAAUAUGGAGAGAAAGUGAAGCAAAAACCGCUUUUAGAAACCAUGGUUUAUAUUUUUCGUUUUAUAAGCUUUCACAUCAAGAACGCUAAGUGAAACGUUCUUCAGAAAAGCAAGAAACCAUGGCCGCAGUCUCUCAAUUGCAAGGGCAGUUUAUCGAGUACACAACAUCUCUGUAUGUGAGGGAUAUCUUGAUGAUCAAUUCACACAACUUCAGAAACUGCAAGACGAGAGCAACCCGGACUUUGUGGCUGAACUGGUGUCCCUUUUUUUGAAGACUCCAAAAAGCUUCUUAACAAUUUUGCAACUGCUCUAUAAGUUUGUUUUUUAUAACCGAUCAGAGACCUUUUCUCAAGGCAUGCUAGAUGCUCAUGAUCUGUUUCCUAUCAUGAUCUUUCUUUUGACCAAAAAAGUCAACAGAAGAUUGUGGAUUAUAAGCAGGUUGAUUCUCAUGUUCAUCAGUUCAAGGGUAGCAGUUCCAGGUAUUAUGCCCAUAAAAUAGUGUUUCUUCAUUAUCAUUUUAAACAAAUAAGAUUUAUUUAUUUAUUAUGAUUUAAAUUUUUUUGGGCAAUUUGUCAUAACAGCAUAGGGGCGCAGUAUUCACUUCAGAAACUGCUGUGAGGAGAAAAACCUUGAUGGAUGAGUAACUAUUUGAUGAUUGUUUCUCUGUUAGAUUAUAGAAGCCAAAUUUUCUGAAAUCAGUCACCAUUUGAUAAAUUUAUAUAGUCAAAUACGUAAUUAUUAUGUAUUCUUUAUAAAUUUUUAACACCGAUUCUUUUCUUACUGAUAUUAGUUCUUAUACGCAAAUACCGAAUUUCUCUCCAAAGUUAAAUGUGUCGGUAUCAAUCCUAGAAUUAAAAGUUGUUUGUUUGACCUUCAAAGUCAAAGAAUCAAAUAUCUAAUACUAUCAAUAGCUGAAUUAUAAUUUUGAUGGCAUGUGGUGGCUGCAGGUGUUUGUGGUGUCUGCAGCAAGUGAAACACGAAUACAUUCUCGUUAGGAACAAGCUUGAAGCCUUGUUUAGGCUGGCAUGUACUCAUGUGAAUGAAAGUUCCAAGAGAAGAAGCUAUCUGUGACCCCACCCAUCCCGCCUUUGGACCUGCCACACUCCUUAUCGUGUCUCCCAGUCACAUGCGUUAUGUGAGGAAUCGGAAGUAAAGCUAACCUUUUGAUUGGUAUUGCAAUGUUUGAGGCUGGUUUUAAGAAGUCUAUGCGUGAUUUUCUUGGUUUAGAGUAUUUGUCAUGUGCUCUGUUAGGGUUUUGGAUGGACCAGUUCGUUUUUUGUUUUUGUGUUAGGUUUUUAGGAGCAUAACGGAAUACUGGAAUAAUUCACACGGUAUAGUGGAAUAUACCUCAUUGUUGGGCGACUGGUUACUUUUAGAUUUGAAAAUUAUUGGUUUUUGCACUUCUUUUAGAAAUAGAACAAUAAGGUAUUCUACGGG